rnacentral:ncRNA from 1 species
GGGACCACCCGCUAAGCCUAAAUAUUCCCUGGUGACCGAUAGCGGAUAGUACCGUGAGGGAAUGGUGAAAAGUACCGCGGGAGCGGAGUGAAAUAGUACCUGAAACCGUGUGCCUACAAGCCGUGGGAGCGUCGGAUGGAAGCUUGCUUCCAUCUCGUGACUGCGUGCCUUUUGAAGAAUGAGCCUGCGAGUUUGCGGUGUGUUGCGAGGUUAACCCGGGUGGGAAGCCGUAGCGAAAGUCGAGUCCGAAUAGGGCUUUCAGUAGCACGC